GUAGUAUACUUUUGGUUGUCUUGGAGCCAGCACGUGAAGCCUCUCCAACCUCUCUGCCAGCCACCUGGCAGUCGAUCUCAAGCGAGAGCUAUCGAAGCAGUGUGUGUUGUGAGCAUUCUGUCGCCAGCGCCAAGCAAGUCCGGUAUUCCAGUAACCACAGACUAGCUGGGUGUUUUGACAGAUGGGUGGAGGCGUAAACUAAAGCCCCUCCAUACUACUAUUGCUGUGAGGAAAGAGCUUUACCGUAGACAUACGCGAGCGGCCUGAUCGAUCUGCACAGUCCAGCUAUCUCGUGGCACAGAGCUUAACCAGCCAAACAAAAAGUUAAUAUUGCUGCAACCUAGUGCAAAACAUUUUAAACAUUUAGAAAAACAUGCUCACGAUUACGCUCCUGCCAUAAAUUUACACCAGCAGCAAAGUAGAAUACACUACAUUACUGCUAUAUAAGUUCUGUGUUUGGUUGAGCUCUGUGCCACCAGGUGGCUGCACCAUGCAC
rnacentral:lncRNA from 1 species